CCUACGGGAGGCAGCAGUGGGGGAUAUUGCACAAUGGAGGAAACUCUGAUGCAGCGACGCCGCGUGAGGGAAGACGGUCUUCGGAUUGUAAACCCCUGUCAUGUGGGAGCAAAUUAAAAAGAUAGUACCACAAGAGGAAGAGACGGCUAACUCUGUGCCAGCAGCCGCGGUAAUACAGAGGUCUCAAGCGUUGUUCGGAAUCACUGGGCGUAAAGCGUGCGUAGGCUGUUUCGUAAGUCGUGUGUGAAAGGCGCGGGCUCAACCCGCGGACGGCACAUGAUACUGCGAGACUAGAGUAAUGGAGGGGGAACCGGAAUUCUCGGUGUAGCAGUGAAAUGCGUAGAUAUCGAGAGGAACACUCGUGGCGAAGGCGGGUUCCUGGACAUUAACUGACGCUGAGGCACGAAGGCCAGGGGAGCGAAAGGGAUUAGAUACCCCUGUAGUC
rnacentral:rRNA from 1 species